rnacentral:tRNA from 1 species
UGCAUCGGCCGAAAAUCGAACCCGGGGCGCCCGCGUGGCAGGAGAGCAUUCUACCACUGAACCAAAAGC